rnacentral:rRNA from 1 species
UUGGAGGGCAAGUCUGGUGCCAGCAGCCGCGGUAAUUCCAGCUCCAAUAGCGUAUAUUAAAGUUGUUGCAGUUAAAAAGCUCGUAGUUGAAUUUCGGGGUUAGUAGGUUGGUCAUGCCUCUGGUAUGUACUGGUCUCACUGAUUCCUCCUUCCUGAUGAGCCGUAAUGCCAUUAAUUUGGUGUUGCGGGGAAUUUGGACUGUUACUUUAGAAAAAAUUGAGUGUUUAAAGCAAGCUAACGCUUGAAUACAUUAGCAUGGAAUAAUGAAAUAGGACGUUCGAUCCUUAUUUUGUUGGUUUCUAGGAUUGACGUAAUGAUUAAUAGGGAUAGGUUGGGGGCAGUUAGUAUUCAAUUGUCAGAGGUAGAAAUUUC